UACGUAGGUGGCAAGCGUUGUCCGGAAUUAUUGGGCGUAAAGCGCGCGCAGGCGGCCUCUUAAGUCUGAUGUGAAAGCCCCCCGGCUCAACCGGGGAGGGCCAUUGGAAACUGGGAGGCUUGAGUAUAGGAGAGAAGAGUGGAAUUCCACGUGUAGCGGUGAAAUGCGUAGAGAUGUGGAGGAACACCAGUGGCGAAGGCGACUCUUUGGCCUAUAACUGACGCUGAGGCGCGAAAGCGUGGGGAGCAAACAGA
rnacentral:rRNA from 1 species